rnacentral:rRNA from 1 species
AUUGAACGCUGGCGGCAGGCCUAACACAUGCAAGUCGAGCGGCAGCGGAAAGUAGCUUGCUACUUUGCCGGCGAGCGGCGGACGGGUGAGUAAUGUCUGGGAAACUGCCUGAUGGAGGGGGAUAACUACUGGAAACGGUAGCUAAUACCGCAUAACGUCGCAAGACCAAAGAGGGGGACCUUCGGGCCUCUUGCCAUCAGAUGUGCCCAGAUGGGAUUAGCUAGUAGGUGGGGUAAUGGCUCACCUAGGCGACGAUCCCUAGCUGGUCUGAGAGGAUGACCAGCCAGACUGGAACGGAGACACGGUCCAGACUCCUAAGGGAGGCAGCAGUGGGGAAUAUUGCACAAUGGGCGCAAGCCUGAUGCAGCCAUGCCGCGUGUAUGAAGAAGGCCUUCGGGUUGUAAAGUACUUUCAGCGGGGAGGAAGGCGAUAAGGUUAAUAACCUUGUCGAUUGACGUUACCCGCAGAAGAAGCACCGGCUAACUCCGUGCCAGCCGCCGCCGUAA